UUCCUAAUCAUACUUCCAGCUGCUCUCUUUUCUAAUAUCCUCGCUUUCCCCAGUUGAGGAUGUCUCUGUUGUUCCUCUCAAAUUAUGGUCUCUGCCUCUUUUUAUAUGGAUUGUGAACAUUCUUCCACUUCUUAGAUGCAUAUUCCUCUUGCUCAACUUGCUGAAGUAUGUAAUUAGAUGGAGAUUAAGAGUUUGUGUGAAACUCGAAAAAGGGUUUGAACCCUACAGUCCAGCUACGUAGUUCUUUGCAAGUACCCCUUGUUUGACAUUUUUUCACUUCAUCUCCUCCUCCCUUCUAAGAAAAGUCUUUUUUGCAGCUGAAGAAGAAGUAGAGAAGACUGUGCUGCUUUUACUCAUCAAGUCACUAUACCGACAAAAAAAUUAAAAGAACAAUAUCAUAAACCUCUACUCAUGUUUAACUAGGUGAAUGGGGAGGUUUUUACUCAAAAGACGAAAGAUUUAGAGAAGGUGAAGUUGAAGGAAUGCUUGAAUGUGAUAUCCAUGAUAAUUACAAAUUGUGAGGUUUAGGCCUUGGGCUAAAAUUCUAUUUUCCCUAUGACUAAUAUCUUCUUUCAAAGGUCUGACAUCUUUGGACUUUUCAUCUAUGGAUAUUGAGUUUCCCAGUGAUGAUAGCAAAUGCCAUGCUUGAGCGCAGGAUAUAGUUAGCACUAUUCUUGGAUACACAGUUGUCUGAAUUUGGAUGCACUUUAGAGGUUUGAUGAUAGUACAUCCCGAUUGAGUUUUAAAAUUUCUGAACAAGCGUUAGGGCAUGUUUGGGAGUCCAAAAUAGUAGCUGCACGUGAUUAGCAUGAGAUGCACGCUCUAUUUUACCCCUGAGAGGGCAUGACAUGUAGUAUGCAGUGCAUGCUCCAUUCCGGCGCUCCAGAGUAUGUGACGCACUCUCUAAAGCAUGCUCCCAAAAUUUACAGCUUUUAGUCAUAUUUUUCAAGGGCAUUUCAGUCCUUUUGCUUAACCCAACUAAUCUAAAACAUGGGAUUUAGUGUCCUAAAAGCAUAACUUACUACUUUAUUCUCAAAAUUUCCCCCAUUCAAAACCAUUCCUUUUCAAGAACAAGUUUUAUCUCUUAAAUAUUCAAGAUCAAUCCCCAAGAAUUCAUCAAGAACUUUCUCAAAUUGGCAAACUAAGGUAUGCUAAAUGUUCAUCCUUAGGUCCAUUUCCACCCUUGGAGUCC